AUACGGAGGGUGCAAGCGUUACUCGGAAUCACUGGGCGUAAAGCGCGCGCAGGCGGCUUGAUAAGUUGGAUGUGAAAGCCUACGGCUCAACCGUAGAACUGCAUCCAAAACUGUCAAGCUAGAGUCUGGGAGGGGAAGAUGGAAUUAGUUGUGUAGGGGUAAAAUCCGUAGAGAUAACUAGGAAUACCAAAAGCGAAGGCGAUCUUCUGGAACAGUACUGACGCUGAGGCGCGAAAGCGUGGAGAGCAAACAGGAUUAGAAACCCCGGUAGUCC
rnacentral:rRNA from 1 species